UACGUAGGUGGCAAGCGUUGUCCGGAUUUACUGGGCGUAAAGAGCGCGCAGGCGGUCGUUCAAGUCGCGUGUGAAAGCCCCCCGGCUCAACUGGGGAGGGUCACGCGAUACUGAUCGACUCGAAGGCAGGAGAGGGUAGUGGAGUUCCCGGUGUAGUGGUGAAAUGCGUAGAUAUCGGGAGGAACACCAGUGGCGAAGGCGACUACCUGGCCUGUUUCUUGACGCUGAGGCGCGAAAGCUAGGGGAGCAAACGGG
rnacentral:rRNA from 1 species